rnacentral:rRNA from 1 species
GACGAACGCUGGCGGCGUGCUUAACACAUGCAAGUCGAACGGAAAGGCCCUGCUUUUGUGGGGUGCUCGAGUGGCGAACGGGUGAGUAACACGUGAGUAACCUGCCCUUGACUUUGGGAUAACUUCAGGAAACUGGGGCUAAUACCGGAUAGGAGCUCCUGCUGCACGGUGGGGGUUGGAAAGUUUCGGCGGUUGGGGAUGGACUCGCGGCUUAUCAGCUUGUUGGUGGGGUAGUGGCUUACCAAGGCUUUGACGGGUAGCCGGCCUGAGAGGGUGACCGGCCACAUUGGGACUGAGAGACGGCCCAGACUCCUACGGGAGGCAGCAGUGGGGAAUAUUGCACAAUGGGCGGAAGCCUGAUGCAGCAACGCCGCGUGCGGGAUGACGGCCUUCGGGUUGUAAACCGCUUUCGCCUGUGACGAAGCGUGAGUGACGGUAAUGGGUAAAGAAGCACCGGCUAACUACGUG